UUUACAGCAGAAUGAGGGUCCGAACCUCCAUAUGCAACAAUGUCAACCUCUAGAUGAGCCUGACGAGCAAGGGAAAGAGCAUGAUAUUGCAUACGAGGGCUACGUCCAAUAUCACCGAGAACGACUACCGCUGCUCUACCGCUGGGUCGGAUCCUCGGUUCAUUUUGUCCUGACAUGAUUUCUAAACAAAAUUCUUACUUCCGGAACAGAAAUUGAGAUUAAAAAUCCAUUCCAGUUAGAGUGAAAGUACUCAGUUAAAUACAGGGGAAAUCGACG
rnacentral:misc_RNA from 1 species